rnacentral:rRNA from 1 species
GACGAACGCUGGCGGCGUGCUUAACACAUGCAAGUCGAACGGAAAGGCCCUGCUUUUGUGGGGUGCUCUAGUGGCGAACGGGUGAGUAACACGUGAGUAACCUGCCCUUGACUUUGGGAUAACUUCAGGAAACUGGGGCUAAUACCGGAUAGGAGCUACUGCUGCAUGGUGGGGGUUGGAAAGUUUCGGCGGUUGGGGAUGGACUCGCGGCUUAUCAGCUUGUUGGUGGGGUAGUGGCUUACCAAGGCUUUGACGAGUAGCCGGCCUGAGAGGGUGACCGGCCACGUUGGGACUGGGAUACGGCCCAGCCUCCUACGGGAGGCAGCAGUGGGGAAGAUUGCACAAUGGGAUGAAGCCUGAUGCAGCACCGCCGCGUGCGGGAUGACGGCCAUCGGGUUGUAAACCGCUUUCGCCUGUGCCGAAGCGUGAGUGACGGUACUGGGUAAAGAAGCACCGGCUAACUACGUG